UGGAUGAUGUGGUUUAAUUCGAUGCAACGCGAAAACCUUACCCACCUUUGACAUGUACGGAAUCCUUUAGAGAUAGAGGAGUGCUCGAAAGAGAGCCGUAACACAGGUGCUGCAUGGCUGUCGUCAGCUCGUGUCGUGAGAUGUUGGGUUAAGUCCCGCAACGAGCGCAACCCUUGUCAUUAGUUGCUACAUUCAGUUGGGCACUCUAAUGAGACUGCCGGUGACAAACCGGAGGAAGGUGGGGAUGACGUCAAGUCCUCAUGGCCCUUAUAGGUGGGGCUACACACGUCAUACAAUGGAUGGUACAAAGGGUCGCCAACCCGCGAGGGGGAGCUAAUCCCAUAAAGCCAUUCGUAGUCCGGAUCGCAGUCUGCAACUCGACUGCGUGAAGUCGGAAUCGCUAGUAAUCGCAGGUCAGCAUACUGCGGUCGAAUACGUUCCCGGGCCUU
rnacentral:rRNA from 1 species